ACGAAGUUUUUUAUCUCAAAAUUUAAACCUUUUCUAUGCUUAUUUACUUCGACUUUAGACCUUAGGCCUGUGGGCAGAAGCUUAAGAAAUUUGGGAAGUAGAAACAGCAUAUUUCUUUGCAAGUGUGAUUUGCUGAAAAAGUGCGAUUGCAAAUCCUUGUUUGUUUUAGAACGAGUAUAAUACUGAUGGUCUAGUUCCCUAAAAAUAUCUUUAACCUUUCUGUAGUAACAAAGCCAUGCACUCACAAAUAAUCCUCUUAAAUUUAGUACAUUUAGUUCCGAAUAAAGGUUGAUUGUAGGAUAUUGAUUGCUUUUGCUUAGGAUAAUCUUAAGUAUUUUAUUUUGGCAUACUUUUAACAUUUGCAUGGCAUUAUCAUUCAGACCACCCCAAAUUACUAAGCAAUAUCUUAAAAUUGAUUCUACUAGUGAAGUAUAUACUAUUUUUAGUGUUUUCUUAUCUAAAAUAUUACGAAUCUGAUAAAAUUUAUAAUAAAGUUUUUUAAAGUUUUUUGGACGUUUCAAAAGCAUGUUCAUUCCAGCGUAGAUACUGGUCAAUAUAUAAACCUAGGUAUUUAAUUUUACUAAUUUUUUGUAUGCAAGGACAAGGACAGUUAUUAUUUAAUAAAUUACAAGUUGGGUUGUGAAUUUUAAUAUUACUUUUUUUAGGUUGAUCACUAGUUGUCAAAGAGAAAGCUAUAAAUUUGGUCUUUGUUACAUUUAGGGUGAUUUUGUUUUCAUUUAUCCUUUUAGUUUUGAAUUACAUAAAGGCCUUGCUCUGCUUUCGAGUAUACACCAUCCCAGCUGUUGUCUGUGAAUGUGACUGCAGUAUCAUCGGCGUAACAAAUAACCGAACUAUCUUGUAGUAAUUUUCCCAAAUCGUUAAUAUAGAUCAAGAAUAAAAUUGGACCCAGGACUGUCCCUUGAGGAACUCCAGUAUUUACGACCAUCUCACUACUUAGGAUAUCAUUACAUCGCACUCUUUGCACUCGAUUUUCCAAGUAGAAUCUAAAAAGCUCCAGAGUUUGACCCCUUACUCCAACAUUUUCUAAUUUAUUUAACAGCAUUUAACACUUGAACAUACGCCAAAAAAAUUGUUUUUUCAUUUAAAAGUCACAAAAUCUUACCGUUGUCAGAGUGACAUUCUUCUUUAUGUAAAAUUAUAUUAUACGUAUUAAAAAAAAACAGGAUUGAGAUGGUUUCAGCAAAAGAUGUAGGCCAGAAAUGUGAAUAUGAUAUAUUCGACCAAGGUUCCACUUAUUUAAAUUUGCCAAAACAUGAUUGGAAAAGGGAACAACGGCAUCACUAUCCUGAUUUAUUUAACUGGUCGCAGAUCGUGUUUCGUCCAUGUCCACCUCCAAAAAGAGUAACUCAAUUGGAUUCUCAUCAUAGAAUGGAGAAGAGACAUUUUCCCAAACUAACCAAUUGGUCUUAUUUGAAUGAUUAUUUUUAACAAUAUAAAAUUUAAAGAGAA